GCAGUCGAACGAUGAAGCCGGAGCUUGCUCUGGUGGAUUAGUGGCGAACGGGUGAGUAACACGUGAGUAACCUGCCCUUGACUCUGGGAUAAGCGUUGGAAACGACGUCUAAUACCGGAUACGAGCUGAGACCGCAUGGUCAUCAGCUGGAAAGAACUUCGGUCAAGGAUGGACUCGCGGCCUAUCAGUUAGUUGGUGAGGUAACGGCUCACCAAGACGACGACGGGUAGCCGGCCUGAGAGGGUGACCGGCCACACUGGGACUGAGACACGGCCCAGACUCCUACGGGAGGCAGCAGUGGGGAAUAUUGCACAAUGGGCGAAAGCCUGAUGCAGCAACGCCGCGUGAGGGACGACGGCCUUCGGGUUGUAAACCUCUUUUAGCAGGGAAGAAGCGAAAGUGACGGUACCUGCAGAAAAAGCACCGGCUAACUACGUGCCAGCAGCCGCGGUAAUACGUAGGGUGCAAGCGUUGUCCGGAAUUAUUGGGCGUAAAGAGCUCGUAGGCGGUUUGUCGCGUCUGCUGUGAAAACGCGAGGCUCAACCUCGCGCCUGCAGUGGGUACGGGCAAACUAGAGUGCGGUAGGGGAGAUUGGAAUUCCUGGUGUA
rnacentral:rRNA from 1 species